AAAUUUAUAGAAGAUAAGCAAGAUAUCUUAUCUCGAUGUAUAAAAUAUAUUUAUUUAUAGAAUAAUUUAAUUAAUAAUUUAAUUAAUAAAAAGAUGAUUAAACGGAGGCAAUAUUGGAAGAUAUAUACCUAACCUACUUAAUUAUUUGCACAAAGAAAGUCAAGCACAUGAGAUUUUUUUUAAACAAGUAAUUAAAAUAUCUGGUUACUAAUCUUUUAAGGAUCUUCAGUUUUAAAUCUCAGAGGAGGAUUUCUCGACUUUACAUUUGAAAAAAGAAAUUGUUGAACUAACAAUUCCGAUAGUCCUGUUUAAAAAGAGGUAAAUGAAUGGAUGACACAAUAUGUAUUAUAAAGCGCAAUGAAAUUCUGUAUUAUACAACAUAUAUAAUAAAAUAAUACCAAAAGUUA